rnacentral:RNase_P_RNA from 1 species
CGAGCGGUCCCGUGCAGUCGCGCCAGCUCGAGUCGAGCUGGUGAGGAAAGUCCGGACACCACCACGCAGCGUGCUCGAUAACCUCGAGGCGGCGGUGUAUCACCGAUGCAUCGCCGACGGAAAGUGCCACAGAAACAACACCGCCACUUCAUGCCACAGCAGGAAGUGGUAAGGGUGAAAUGGUGCGGUAAGAGCGCACCGCACACGUGGUGACACGUGUGGCAGGGCAAACCCCACGCGGUGCAAGACCGAGCAGAUGCGGUCGUCCUGUGCGUGGCAGGCGCUCUUCGGGCAACCCGAAGAGCACGCAUCGGGUAGGUCGCGCAAGAGGCAUGCAGCAAUGCAUCGCCCAAGGCACAUGACUGCAUCAGCAUCCCUCCCACUGGCGGGAGAAUGCUGGACAGAAUCCGGCUUAUAGGGCCGCUCGCUCU